rnacentral:lncRNA from 1 species
UUUUUUAUUUAAUCUGCAAAUUAUGAUAAUUCUUUGUUAUUUAUGUAUGGAAUUUAUUGGGAGGAAAUGCAGGAAAGAAUUCAUUUACGUGGUUUGGUCCAAGACCAAGGGUGAACAUUACGGACCCUGAAAAAAUAAGAGAAAUACUUAACAAAUUUAAUGACUUCCAGAAGAUACGUACCAAUCCUCUGCUUAAUUUGCUUGUAAGCGGCCUUGUUAACCUCGAAGGAGACCGAUGGAGCAAGCGUAGAAAAAUCAUAAACCCUGCAUUUCAUCAAGAUAAGUUGAAGGUAUAGAAUAGUGAUGGGUAAUCAGACUUUACAGAAAACAUCAUACUUAAACCAAUGCUUUUCUGAUUUAGAAAUAAUUGGAUGCAGAAUAUGUUGCCAGCAUUUUAUCAAAGUUGUAGUGACAUGUUAAGCAAAUGGGAGAAGAUGGUGUGUACAGAAGGAUACAGUGAGUUAGAUGUGAGGCCUUAUCUCGUAGAUUUGACAAGAGAUGUGAUUUCCCGAUCUGCUUUUGGAAGCAGCUUCGAAGAAGGCAAACGAAUUUUCCAAUUACUAGAGGACCAACUCGUUCUCACAAUCAAAUUAAUACAAACUGUUUACAUUCCAGGAUGGAGGUAACCGUCAACUUAAUUUACUUGAAAAAGGUUGCAAAUCUUGGAAUUGGCUAAAUUCGUGUUUGUUUUCUUGAAGGUUUUUGCCAACGAAGACAAACAGGGAGAUGAAGAUGAAACACAGAGACAUAAAAGAGUCGCUUAGGGAAAUGAUAAAGAGAAGGGAGAAGGCAAUUAAAGCAGGGGAAGAGAGCAAUGAGGACUUGUUGGACAUACUUGUGGAAUCCAAUAUCAGAGAAAUGGAAGCAAAGAAUAUGGGGAUGAGCAUUGAGGAUGUGAUUGAGGAAUGCAAGCUGUUUUACUUUGCUGGCCAAGAGACCACUUCGGUCUUACUGGUGUGGACUAUGGUUUUAUUAGCAAGGUAUCCCGAUUGGCAAAGUAAAGCAAGAGAGGAGGUUUUGCAUGUUUUGGGUGACAAUAAACCUGAUGCUGAUGGCCUUAAUCGUCUCAAAGUUGUAAGUCCCUAGCAUGUCUUUUGAAGGUCCGAUCAAUGAGGUCGACAACUCAAAAACUUUGUUUCUUUUUUCGCUAAUUCUACAGGUAACGAUGAUAUUGUACGAGGUUCUAAGGCUGUACCCACCGGUGGUUGAGCUAGGACGUUCCGUUCCAAAAGAAAUAAAACUGGGGAAUUUGUUGUUACCAGUAGGAACAGAAGUUUCGGUUCCGAUCCUGCAGAUCCACCAUGACAAAGAUCUUUGGGGUAACGACGCACGGGAAUUUAAGCCAGAGCGGUUCGCGGAAGGGGUUUCCAAAGCAACAAAGAGUCAAGUCACGUUUCUGCCAUUCGGAUGGGGUCCUAGGAUCUGUAUUGGCCAAAAUUUUGCUUUGAUGGAAGCCAAAAUGGCGAUGGCUAUGAUUCUCCAACGCUUCUGGUUCGAGCUUUCCCCUUCCUAUGCUCACUCUCCUUACAGCAGGGGAACUCUUCGUCCACAGCAUGGUGCACAGAUAAUUUUACAUAAACUUGGCUGUAAUUGAAUUGUUAUGUAAACAAAUCUUUGUGAAAACAUAGCGUUUUAGUGUAUCGUCAAAGUCCGGUGUCUGUAAUGGUACAAAUUCGAUGCAUGAAUAGUAAAUUUUGAGAUGUUUGGUGAAGUCCGAAAUAAUAUGCAGAAAUUGAGCGUCUAUGGUGGACAUAGUUGAGGGACUAAUGUGGUAAUUAUCAAUCAAAUAAUUCGGUACAAAGACUUGUAUGGAAAUUAAAGCAGGGGGAGUUGAAAAUGACUACUCUGCUUUGGGCAUCAAUUUAGAAAGAUUUAAAGUACAACUGUGUUAUCAGUUAAGGGAUUUGUUUUAAAGAGGGAAUGACAAUUAAACCUCAUGGUUUAUUUGUGCAAGGGAACCGAUGAUGGGAUGAUUAUUCUUAGUGGUAAAAAAAACCAUUAUGGAGGUUAUUACACUUGUUAUCAUCAGCUUAAAAUUCGAAUGGGUUCAAGUCGGAUUAUAUCGAGCUUGUAAGAUGAGUUCACGGACCAAGUUUGCAUAAUAAAAUACCUAAAUGAAAAAAAAUUCUAUUUUAGAGGGACGAGAGCCCCUAUCAACUCCCGGCUCAGCCACUAAACAAUACCUAUAUCAUAUAAAUAAAUACCACCAUCUAAAAGACUCAAAGAAAAACACUCAACAAAGGAUAAAUAGAUAGAUGUUGGAUAAGUGUCCAAAAUAUGAUUUAAGUGAAGAUACAUGUGGUAGGUGUUACGGAAAUGUGAAGACAAGAAUCCCACUAACGUAUGGGAUGUGUGCAGUUGAAUGUAGGGAGCAAAAAGAGGAGUGAAUCAUUUUGGUAACAUUUGGACAAGAAACAUAAUGAACAAAAUGGAAGGAGAGGAAGCUAGUAAAAGAAUUUUUUUGGGUCAUAUAAUUUGUUCAUUUUGGAGUUGAAUUAUAAUUUUUUUAUAUAUUAUUUUAAAAUUUUAAGGAGUUAAAACAAAAUUAUUUUAUUUUCAGAUGGUCAAAGUAGAGGUGAUAAUGGGUUGGGCUAUUCGGCCCGGCCUGACGAUUCACUCGAAAAAUAGGAGGGUUUAGGUAAAAAUAUAGGCUCGAAAUAGGGAUUUGAGCAAAAAAAGAGUCCCGUUUAGAAAAUGGGCCAGGCCUCGGGUAAAAUUUUUUGGGCCCAAGCCUGACCUGAAUUAUAUAUUAAAUAUAUUUUUUAAUUUUUAAUCAAAUAUACUUUUUUUUAUUAAUUUGGUUAUUAUUUUAGUUCUAAUUUGUUUCAAUUUUAAUAUAACCACUUUUUAUUAUAUUUUCAAUUUGUGUAUUGUUUUAAGAAUUGUUUUAGUCUCAUUUUUUUAUUUAUUUUUUGUUUUAAUAAUUGUUUUAAAAAUUUUUAUUUAAUGAAAUAAGCUAAAAAAAUUAAUAUGGGCUUGGCCAGGCCAGGCUCGGGCCUAGUAAUUUUCUUUUGGGCCGGACUUAGAUAAAAUUUUAAGCCCAUAUUUUAAAUUGGGUCCUAACCUAAAAAAUGAACCUAAAAUUUUAUAUGGGCCCGACUUGGCCCUUGAUUACCUUUAGGUCAGAGCUAUCCUCGUUUUGCAUUUCUUUGAGAUUCAGCCUUAUCUACUGUGAUUGCCCACUCAAUUGAGGGUUGAGUAGAAAGAUUUGGUGAAGCAAGCUAAGCUAUCAAUCAAGGUUUGCAUAAUUAUUUAAAUGUAAUUCUAAUAUUAAAAUAAUUUUUUUAUUAAUAUAGUAUCAACAAGCAUUAAAUGUAAUGAUCAUAUACUAUUACAUUUUAAAGAAGAGAAAACAUGUUUGAACUUUAAAAACCACGUUACUAAAAACAUUAUCACAAACCUUGAAAUAUAAAAAAUAAUUUUUUUAAUAUAAUAAAAAAUUAAUUUUAAACCCGAGCUGAAUAAAAUUCUAAUUUUAGUUAAUGAUACGAACAACAAAUCAAUAUUCUAAGCCCGAGCCCUGCUCAUUUUUUUAAUAAACACCAAAAAUUUAUUUUGAAAAUAAAAAAUAAAAAAAAUAUUUUAAAAAUAUUUUAAAAAUAAAAAAAAUUAAAAAUAAAUAUUUAUUAUAUAUUCAGGCCGGGCCGGGCUAGCCUUGGGCUAAAAAAAUGGUGCCCGAGGCCCGGCCCAUUUUCUAAAUAGGCCUCAUUUUUUGUCCAAACCCAUAUUUUGGGCCUAUAUUUUUACCCGAACCUCUCAUAUUUUGGGCGGACCGUCGGGCCGGACCGGGCCGCCCGGCCAUGAACACCUCUAGGGCAAAGUCACUCAAUGAAUGCAUGGAAAGAAAUAUUGCAACUUGGUGACAGCUUUUGUUGGAGUUAUAUGCUUUUUUUUACAUAGUGGAACUUUCGGUGGAUUUUCAAGUUUCAUGAACUUUAUACCCUAGGCUUUACGUGAAAAAAAUCAUUGGACUUAAAAGUCUACCAAAAGUUUCACUAUAAUAAAUAAAUAAAUAAAUAACAUUGCUACAAGACUACAACAUAAAGUUACAAUAAGAGCUUAUAACUCAACAAAGGCUAUCAAUAAAUAAUCUCAAGCAAGCUAAAGAGAAAUGUUGAGAGUACCACUCAAAUAGUGAUUGACUUUAAAAAUUGAAAACCCGAAGUUAUUGUUGACACCAUUUUUUGGAUGAAAAUGUGUCGACUUGGGUUUUGAAAAUGAAAACGAAAACGAGAGUCGCCACCAAUCCUUUUUGAUAAGGUGUGACUGGGUCACCUUGAAAAGUGGUUGUUUUUAAUAAACGAUUUGAUUUUAUUAAAACAACAGUUUUGGUCCACGAAAUUCAGAAAAAUGAGUUCGGGAGUCGGUUACGCACGAGGAAGGAUUAGCACCCUCGAUACGCCCAAAAUUGGUACCUAGUUGAUUACUUAAUGUCUUAAUGUCGAAAAUUGAAAACUUUGGAGAAUUUUAAACAUACGAUCCUUGUAUUAAAACGUUAAAAAUUUUCAAGAAAAUGGGAUAUUUCACGUUAUUCGAUAAAGAGAAUCAUAUCCUAGUAAGUUAGGACACAAUAUCUCGAAUUUCCGAUAUCAUUUAAAACUUGAGUUUGAAAAGAUUCGUGUAAUAAAGUUUAAAAUAAUAUUCAAUUGUUUAAAUCAAAUGAAGAAAUCGCAACCCAAUACGUUAGGGCACAAUUUCUCAAAAUAUUAAACAUUGAAUAUUGCAUUUAUUUCGAAAAAUCCUCAUCUCGAGAAAACGUGUCACAUCCAAUGCAUUAGAAUACAACGUAUUGAAUUCUCGAUAACGAGCUUUUUCUCAUUUUUUAAAAGAGUAAUCUCGAUUAUUUAGGUUCAACGAAGAAAAUCAAAACCCAAUACGUUAGGGCUCGAUUUUCUCAAAGAUUCCAAAUACCGAGUAUUACUUAUAUUUUUAAAAUUUCUUUUUUGAAAUCCGAGUAAAAAUGAAUGCAAAAUAAUAAAUGAUGACAAUGUAAAUAAAAUGAUACAAGCAAAACAAUAAACAAUAAAAAUAAUCAUACGGGCAAGGUAACAAAUAAUUAGGAACUAAAGAAAGAGAACAAACAAUAAUAAACAUGCAAAUAAAUGAACAAAAUUAACAACAUGAUGCAAAUAUGAAAGAUAUAUAAGCACAUAUAUAUACAUAAAAUAAUGAGAAUAUGAAAAAAUGUGUGUAAUUGGACAUGUUUCGGAAUUAUUAUACAUUUAAAAAUCAUGUAAAUGUGUGUACAUACAUAUAUACAUAUAUAAUAAUCAUUAAAUAUAUAAAAAUACAUAUGUGUAGGUAUAUAUGAGUCAUAAAAUGUAAAGAAUAUAUACAAGAUAUAUUUUGAACGUAUAAAGUAUAUGUAAAUGUAUAUAUAUAAUAAAGGUGUAUGAAAGCAUAUUUUAUAUACGUGUAUUUAUAAAAUGUAUAUAAAUGUAUAUUGAUUUACCAAUACAUAUGGAUUUAUAAUUAUAGAAUAUAUAUAAAAUAUUUACAUAUAUACGUUUAUGCAUAUAUAAAAGUAAGUUAUUAUAAAAUAUGAGCAAGCAGAAUACAUAAAUAUAUAUACAUAAAAUAAAAAUGAAGAUGAAAAUAAUAUAAAACUACUUAAUAUAUUAAUAUAAUAGUAACAAAUUAAAAAAACAGAAAAUAAAGCUAAUAAUAAUUAAUAAUAGUAGUAAUAAUUAUAGCAGCAAUGAUAAUGAUAAUAAUAAUAACACUAAAAAAAUUAAUUAAAUAAUAAAAUUGCUAAAAAGGGAUUAAAUCGAAAUAAAAACAUAAAUACUGGGCGAUUUUGAAAUAAAAAACGGGAAGGACCGAAUUGCAACGCGCGUUGAAAAGGAAAGGGCCAAAACUGCAAAUAAACCACAGCCCCAAAACGCAGCGUUGAAAUGGACCAAGUCGAAAUAAAAAUAAAAUUGCAGGGGCUAAAUUAAAAAUAAGAGAAAAUAACGAAAAAUGAUCAAAUUGUAAUACGCUGCAAAAUCAGGGGGACUGCACGCGCAAAUAGCCCAAAAACUGAAAACACGCGGAUCCUCCGGGUCGGGUCGGGUCGGGUCAGGUCGACGUGCGGAUCCCCUUUGCUAAAACGGCGUCGUUUCAUGUUUAAUAUAAAUACUAAAAAAAGCUAAAAAAAACAGUUUCAUCUUUUUUUAAAAAAAACAGAGAGAAAACUCUCUCUUUUUCCCUCAGGUCCGGCCAUGGUCCGGCUUGGGAUUUCCGACGAGUCUCCGCCGCAAAGCCACCGUGUGUGGCGGCCGGAGGUUCAAAAUCAGACCUUUUUGGUCCUUUUUUAAAGUCCAUGGCCUCCAAGCCACAGAUCCGGGGCUGAAUCUCCUGAAUCGAAAGCCGAAGACCCAAAAAAUGGGGUGAAAUCCUUCGCCUUCCUCCCCCUUCCGGCGCUGCGCAGGUAAGGUUUUUUUUAACUCCUUUUUUACUAUCUUUAUUUAUAUAUAUACAUGAAGAGAAAAGAGAGCAAAAUAAAUAAAUAAAUAAAAACUUCAAAACUGAAGAGAAAAAGACCUUGAAUCUGCCUUAUUUAUUUUCUUUCGGUUGAAUCUGUUUUUGUUUGUUACAAAAGUUUCCAGGGAAGAGAAAAAAAAAGAGAGUUACAUGCUUGGCUUUUAUAGCCGAUAUUAAUUUCUAUUUUUUGUUUUCUUUUUCCUUUCUUUUCUUUGGCUGUUGCGUGUUUGCUUCCUUAUUGCAGGGUGAUUGACGGGAGUGGUUGGCGACAGAGUCGGUGGCCACUUGCACUGAUGAAGCAGCGGUGGCGGCGCUAGGGUAGGCUAGGGACGGCGGCAGUACUAGGGUUUCAGAAAACUGAAACCCUAGUUUGACAAAUUGGUUUCGGGCCUGUUGGGCUUUAAAUUAUGGGCUUUGUAAUUGGGUUUUGGGUUUAGGUGAUUUGGGUUUAGGUGGUAUGGGCCCGGGUCAAAUUUUGGGUAAUGGGAUUGGGGCAAAAUUGGGUUGUACAGUUAUAAUAUCCCAAACGAAAUCAAACUAUAAACAUUAAAUUUUUCGAGUCUUCUAGAUACUGUAAAAAAUUCAGCUCCAACGGACACCAAAUGAACCUAUGAUCGAAGAAAAUACGAAGACUAGUCUGGCUAAAUCAAUCUGCCAAACUUACUUUUUAUCUUAUCUUUAAUUUGCUGUGAAAUUCAAAACUACGUGUAAUACUCAAUUUAUGCUCGACCCAUUUUGUUAAAACAAAUAAAAAAGAAAAGAAAAACAAAAUAUUUAAAUUUAGCCCAAAUGUCCAUUUACACAGCCCAAUUACAAUUGCAAAUAAAAAAAACUAAAACUAAACCCGAUCCUAAGCAUCAGCCCAAAUUCGACCCAUGCCCAAAACGAAUUCAGAUGCAGAAACCCUAGCCCAGCCUUAAUGCAAGCAAAAGUCGAAAGCCCUAAUAGUUGGUGCGCCGCUCCUGUAACAGCCCGAUUUUGGGCCUAGUCGGAACAGUGGUUUUGGGACCACAAAUCCGACGAGAAAAAAAUGUAAUGGCCCGAAUUUUCAGAGGUGUCAGAACGGUGAUUCGAGAUCACUAAAUUCGACAAAUGGGUAGAAAAUAUUAUUAAUUUAGUAAGUAUAAGUUAAAUGUGAAGUUAGGAAAAUUUUUGAAAUGGUGAAUAGUACACUAGAAAUAAAUAUUAAAAUAAUUAGAAUCGAAAAUGAGGUAUCGAGACCUCGGGGAUUUUAAACCGAGCCAUAAAUAUUUUUAUAAAUAUUUAUGUAGUCUUAAAAAGUUAGUAUUAAAGUUUCGUUAAGAAAUUUUAAAGUUCCGAUAAUUAAUUGAACAAAAAGGACUAAAUUGUAACAAAUACAAAAUUAUGAGAAAUGAUUAAAUAGUUUAAAUGAUAAAAGGAAGAGGGCUUAAAAGGUAAAUAGACCCAAGGUCUAUUUGGGCUGCACGGCAAAGGCAUGAAAUCAGCAACAAAGUAAGGAGAAUUAAGGGCAAAAUUGGAAUAUUGCAAAAUUUACUUAAUAAAGUUAGGACCAAAGUGGAAUUAUCUAGAUUUCUCUUUAUUUUUCUGCAUUAUCAUCAGCAUAAACACCAUAGAAGGGUUUUCUUAAGCUGGUUCUUCCUAUUUUUACUGCAGGUAAGUUCAAUUCUUGAUUAUUUCUUGAAAAUUUUGUGUUUUUGUGACUUUUACAACUAGGCCCACUUAUUGUAUUCAUUAGUUUUUGAUUCUAUGAAAGAAGUUGAAAGUUGCUAUGAAUACAUGCUGGAAGUAUAUGAUGAUUUAGCAUGGAAUUAGAGCUUUAAAUUGUUCAUAUGCUGAUUUAUUGAAAGAAUUGAAUAGAAAGUGAAUGUUUGGGACCUAAUAGUAAAAGAGUUUGAAGAUAGAGUUAUAUGUGGAAAUUCUGAAUUUCAAUAGUUGUGAAACAACUUAUAAUGUCUAGGUUAAGUAUUAAUUGAGAAAAUUAAAUUAAUUGAGGGGUUAAUUGAGAAAGGACCGAAUUGUAUAAACUGUGAAAUUUGGGGCAAAAAGGAAAUCAACAUUUUACACUAAAGCAGUUUUGGACAGCAGCAGUAGUAUAACUUUGAAAAAUCACCAAAAAUUUUGAGAAUUGAAUUAGAGGGUGAAUAAAAUAUAAAAUUAAAGCUCCUUGAAUCUAGUUUCUCAUAGAAGAAACGGUGUAAGCAAUGGAAUUGUAAAUCAUGAGAUAUAAUAAAUUUUGUGAGACAAUGUCAUAAUGAUUUCGGGUUCCCCUAUUCUGACUUUGGAAAAUCAUCAAAAAAUUAAGAAAAAUAUGAGUUAUAAUUUAUAUGAUUACAAUCCUUAAUGAGUCUAUUUUCAAAGAAAAUAAACGGAAAUAUCAUCCAAAUUCUGUACAAUUAUAUAAUUCAUUUUUAGUGAAGAGUGGUCGAAACUGUCAGACAGCGAAAUAGGGGGAACUUUAAAGAAUAAACUGUACUAUUUGGCUGAACCAAAAAUUCUGAAAAUUUUAUGGUAAGAAGGUAUGUGAGUCUAGUUUUAAGGAAAAUUAACGGAUCUUAAUUUAGAGCUCUGUAGCUCUAGAUAAAAAUAAUUUAGUGACUCUGACUCAGAUAAAUAGCUUUGAAUGUACAUGUGAGUGAAUAGUGAAAUUAUAGCUAGUGUUGUUUAAGUGUGUUAUACACAUUAAGGAUAUGGAAUGGAGAGGAGGAGGAGGAGGAAAAAUUGGGAAAUAUAUGAAUGAUUUGUGUAUAAUUGGUCAUAUGCUUAAUUAUAAUUGAUAAACGAUGAAAUAGAAAUGAUGCAUAUAUUUGUGCAGUAUUGGUCAUGGUUUAAGCUCAUGUGGGAAAAUAAAGUUUAUAGUACGUGUGUAUUAUAUUUUUGGUAUAUGAUUUGGCAUUAAGUAAUGUCGUGAAUGGAUAUUGAAUUAACACAUGUUGGAAAGUUUGAUAUAUGAAUAAAUAUUGUGAUCAUGAAAGAGUGUUACAGCUCCUGCCUUCAGCACGCGUCGAGCCUCCGCGCCAAAUCCACGUGAGCCUCCGUACACUCCAACUAGCCUCCGUACCUGCAACAAACAAAAGUAGACAAAACAACAGCAAAGGAUAGGAAGAAAAGGCAGUAAAUAGUGAAGAUUUUUCUGUAAUUUUCUUUGGAUUUCAUUAUGUAUUUUCGGCUAUAAAAGAGCCAUUAGGAAUAUUUGUAAAGGGUUUUUUUUUUACCCUCACACACAAAGAGAAUAUACACGCAUACAAGAUCAAUAUAGAGAAAGAAAUAAAAAUAAAUAAAUACAAAGAAUAGAAAAUCAAGUUUCGAAGGUGAUUCUUUGAAAAAUCCUUUUCGUUUUUCUCAUUUUUCCUUUUUCCUGGAUCUUUUGUUCAUUUCAAGUAAAAAAAGUAUAGAAAGGAAACAAGUUUAGAGGAAGGAGGUUUACCUGGACGCCGGACCUCGCUCGCCUCGUCGAAAUCGAAGGCUGAGAGGGGAUAAAUCGGUUUUGCGGCAGAAGGAAAGGGGGGCUAGGGUUCUUGUUUUAACUUUUUUAAAAAAAAUAGAAAAGGUUGCUAAUUAGGUUUUAAUGGGGGAUUUAUGUGUGUUAAAAAAACGACGUCGUUUAGCGACCUUUGACCCGUGCGGUGACCCGACCCGAGGAAAGGAUCUGCGCGUUUUGGGUCUGAUGGGUUUAUUGCGCAACAAGCCCUUCCGCAUUUGUUUUUCGUUUCAAUUCGGUUUUUAUUUGUUUUUUAAUUGUUUUCUCAUAUUUAGUUCCAAUUUCAAUUGGGUCCAUGAUUAAACGACAUCGUUUUCAUUGAUUGGGUUUGAAGGCCUGGUUUUGUGCGUCUAAAUUGCAGCAAUGGUCCCCCUGAUGUGCAAUAGUUCUCGAUUUAGUCGUCUCCACACUUAUUUCAAAGUCGUCCUUGAGAUUUUGUUUUAUUUUUGAAAUUGUCCUUGUCUUCUUUUAAUUUAUAAUGAUAUUAUUAUUAUUGUUGUUGUUAUUAUUACUAUUAAUAUGGGUAUUGUUAUCAUGUUAGUUUAUAUCUAUUUAUUUACUUUUAUUUUAUUAUGUAUUAUUAUAUAAUGCUUUUAUCAUGUAUCAUUUUAUAUAUUUUCUAUGUUAAUCUAAUAUGAUAUAUAUAUAUAUAUGUAUUUUUGUGAUCUUAUUUUAUAAUACUUUUUUAACCCAUUUAUAUGCCUUUAUGUUUUAAAGAUUUAUAAUAUUUUGUGCAAAACUAUUAUAUAUAUAUAUAGAUAUACAAUUUAUAUUAGACCAUUUUUAUCGUACAUAUACGUAUAUAUAAUUUAUAUUUUGAAACUCUAUUUUAUUAUAUUUUAUGCCUCUAUAUACAUCAUUAUAUGUUUAUUAUUCUUUAUAUUAAACCUGCCAUUUCACUUAUAUAUUUUUAAAACCAAUGUGUAUUAUUCUUUCUUCUUUGUUAUUUUUUAUCUCUUAAAAUAGAUUGAUAAUUCAUUUAAUUUUUGAAUGUUGUAUGACCGAGAUUAUCGUUGCCAUUCUUGUCCAAAUUUAUCCAUUGCUUGUUCAUAUUAUUUGAUAAUUUAUCGCUCACUAGCAUGUAUCGUAAUUUACGAAUUAUCAUUUUGAAUUAUGUACUACCAUUCAAUCGCAUUACAUUUGUUUGGAAAACAUCGAAAUCGUUUUGCACAUAAACCUUCAAAAUGCUUGGUAUCCAAAAUUCUCGAGAGGAUUGUGCCCUAAUUUAUUGGGCUUCAAUUCCCCUUUUUGAUUUUAAAUAACCGAAUACCCCUUUUUCAAUUUGAACAUAGAAAUUCCAAAAUAAAAAAAAACUCAUUCUCGGGAAUUUGAUGCGUUGUGUCCUAACGUAUUGUAUAUGACAUAUUUUUCUCGAGACGAGGAUUUUUCUAACAAAUAAAAAUAAAGGCAAUAUUCGAUAUUUAGGAAUUUUGUGAAAUCGAACCCUAACUUACUGGGUUUUGAUUUUUUCAUUUGACCCAAGUAGGAUAUCCUUCACAAAUGCACAGAUUUUAAAAAAUCAAAAGAUAAACUUAAUUUCGAGGAUUUAAAAUGUUACACUCUGACUUACUGAGUGUGUCAAUUUAUUUCUUUGAAAUAAGUGAGUCUUAUCAUCCAAUUUAUUUUAUUCAAAUUUUCUUUUCCAAGGAUCGUAUUUUAAAAUUUUUUCAAAAUUUCGACAUUAAGACAUUAAGCAAUCAAUUCAGUACCAAUUUUGGGCGUCACGAGGGUGCUAACUCUUCCUCGUGCGUAAUCGACUCCCGAACCAGUUUUCUCAAAAUUCACAGACCUAAAAUUAUUUUCAAGGUGAUCCGAUCACACCACAAUAAAAGAUCAGUGGUGACUCCCAUUCCUAUUUUUAAAAGUCGAUUCCUGUUUUUCAUAUAUAAAAAAAUGGUUUCGACACUACGGUUUUGUUUGUUUCCCUUAGAACAACUUUCAAAAAGUUAAUUUUGAAAAAUGGAUUGAAUUUUCAAAAUAGAUGAUAUUUUUUUGUGUUAAAAUUUUAUUCGUUGUUUGAAAAAAAAAUUUAAAUCAUUUUCUUAGAAUUAUUUUUAGUGAAACAAAUAUAUCAUAAAUAUAUUUGUUAUAAAAUAUUAUAUUAAUAUUUUCUUUUAACAAUUAAAAUAUAUUUUGUGAUAAGGUAAUAUUUUAUAAUAAUUAAUAUCAUAUAUACUUAAUAAUAAAUCAUGUCUAAUUAAAAUUUAAUUUCAAUUAAAUAUAUUAAUAAAGCUACAUUUAAUCAUAUUUUAUAUAAUUAAAAUAUUAAUAUAAAUAUUUUUCAAUAAUAUAUUAAAGAAUAUUUAAAAUUUAAAUUUAUUAUUACUAAGAUUAAUUAUUAAAACAAAAAUGUAAUAUUAAAUAAUUUAUCCAAUGAUAAGUUAUAUUAAUAAUUUAUUAUAUUAUUAAAUAUAAAUAAUUAAAUAUGUAUGUUUAAUAAUAUUAUGUUAUAAUAUUUAUUACUAAUAUUUUAAUAUUUUUAAACAACCAUGUUUUAAAGAUGGUGGUGAUGGUGAUGGUGCAGGCCCCCUUGUUAAAAUUACAAUAUUUUUAAGUGGGAUGCAUGUAAUAUAUUGUUAGGGUUUUAGAGUAUGUGGUCUUUAAAAGGGUUAAAUUAUAUAUUUAUAUAAUAUGAUUAUUGUUUAUAAACAUAAUAUUGUAGAUAAGUUUAUAUGUAUGUCAAUAUGUAUCCUACUCUAAGGUUAAUAUGUAUUUUUUAGAUGUGGGUUUACCUAUAUAAUAGUAUGAAUCCAUCAUGUGGUCUCAUGAAAUAUACAAACACAUAUCGUGCGAACACAAAGUACGAACAAUAAAAAAUACAAAUCAAGACCCAAUUGAAUAAUUGAAUAACGGAUAGGUAAUAAUGAAUAUCAUAACAUUUACUAUCCCCUCUUUUCUAGUGAGUUAUUGUUUAUGAUAAAUUUGCAACAAAUGUUUUUAUCAUUAUUUUGUUGGUAAAUGAUAAUAAGAUUAAACAUUACUUUCUUAAGCUCCUUCAAUUCUUUGGACGUUAGCGAGUAAACUUGAGCUUCAGCAUUCCACAAACACCUUAAUUUGAAGACACAGUUCUCUCAUACUAAAAACGACAUGGACGUUUACCUUGUAAUUAGAGAUUUGGGCUCAUUGUUGGGUUAUUAAUGAUACGGGGAUGGAGAGCUUUAAACUGGGUAUGGUUGGCCCCAAAGAGGCUCGAAACGUGCUUGAGACUAGAGGUGAUCAAGGGCCGGGUUAGGCCCAGUCUAGAAAAAAAAUUAGGCCCAUUUUUUAGAUUUGAACUCGGCUCGGCUCAAAAUAUAAGCUUAAAAAUUUGUCUAAGUUCAGUCCGAAAGAAAAUUGUUAAGCCCAAGCUCGACCCAUAUUAAAUUUUACAACACCAAAAAAGUAUAUUUAAAUAAAAAUAAAAUAUAUAUAUUUAAUAUAUAAUUCGGGCCGAGCUGAACUCGGGCCAAAAAAGUUUUACUCGGGGCUGGUCCGUUUUCUAAACAGACUUCGUUUUUUUUGCCAAAAUCCAUAUUUUUACCCGAAUCUUCCUAUUUUUUGGGGUGUGCCGUCGGGCCGAACUGGGUAACCGAACCAAUGAUCACCUCUGUAAUCACUGAAUUUUGUCCGGGAAUAACUUUCGUUAAAAAAAUUUUAAAAUUAAAAAAAAAUUAACUUUUUUGCUUUUUGACCCCUAAACUUUUCUAAAAUUUCAUUUUAACCCCUAAACUUUCUCAAAAUUACAGUUCAACCCCUAAACUUUUCUAAAUUACAUUUUGACCCCUAAAAUUUCUUAAAAUUACAUUUGGACCCUUACACUUUCUCAAAAUUACGUUUCGGCCCCAAAAUUUUUGCUACAUUUACAAAUUGGUCCUUCUGUCAGAAAAUCCCCAAUAAUCCGGCGGAUUUCGUGCACCUGCCCCACUAUUUCCGGCAGCCGGCCUAGGGCAUGGCCUUCCCCACCUGCUACCUGCAAACAAGAAGCAAAAUCAACUAUAAAAAGGAGUUUAAACUCCAAAAAUCGGACCCCCACCCACGAAAAAAAUAAAAAAAAAAAACUUGAAAGAAAAAGAAAAAAGCUUUGAGAAAGAAAAAGAAAAGGAAAAGAAGAGAGGGGAGAAGGAGAGGCCGACCAUCGGCGAGCCACCGGAGGAGGCGACGGCAGCAGCGGCAUCGACGGCGGCGUAGAAGACCGAACGGAGAAGAAGAAGAAGAAGAAAAAAAAAGAAAGAAGAGAAAGAAAGAAGGAAGAAGAAGAAGAAAGAAACAAAAAAAAAAGAAAAUAUUUUGUAAUAGUCGGCCCGGCCCGACUCGACCUGCACGACCCGUGACCCGACCCGACAGCACCAGCAACCUAGCAGGCCACGGUAGCAGCCCGGCGGCCCAAAGAGUAGCCCAAAAAGAAAAAAAGAAGAAGAACAAAGCAAAAAAAAAAAGCAGGCCAUUUUCAGCAGGCCCAGUGCAGCCCAGCAGACCCAGCGAACCCAGCAGGCCAGGCCCACACGCAAGCAGCCCAACAGAAAAAAAGGGAAAGAAAAAGAAAAGAAAAAAGAAAAAAGAAAAAAGAAGAAGAAGGGGUUCAAUUUGUAUUAUCCGUUCGGCGAAGCUCGUGUUUUGAGGAUUUUUUUUCGGUAAUUUUAUUUUUUAAUUUUAAUUUAAUGCUCGUAUUUUUUUUAAAUAUUAUUAGUAUUUUAUGCAUUUUUAUAUUUUGGCAUUUAUAUUUUUAAUUUAAUUUACUUCAAUUUUUAUUUUAUUUUAUUUUAAAUAAUUUUAAUAAAUGAGGCAACGAAUCGAUUUAACAUAAAAUCGUUGAUUUCAUUGCUAUGUUGGGUGAAUAUCAUCGGUUUGUGUUAAACACGAUACACCCUUUUUAAAAAAAAGAAAAAAAUCGAAAAAAUUCUAAAAUUCUCAUUUUUUUAAAAUUCUCGUGUUUUAAUAGAAUCACGAUUAAAUAUUAAGUUGAAUCGAUUUGGCACUAAUUCGAUGAUUUCAUCUCCAUGUAGGGAUGAAUAUCAUUUAUUCGUGUUAAAUAUGGUACUUCUGAAAAAAAAUCGGGUUUCAAAAAUUUUCGUGUUUUCAAAAAUUCUCAUGUUUCAAAAAUCUUCGUGUUUUAAAAAUUCCAGUGUUUCAAAAAUUUUCGUGUUUUCAAAAAAAAAUUUCUCGUGUUUUUAAAAAUUCCCGUAUAUCGAAAUUUUCUUGUUUUCAAAAAAAAAAUUCCAUGUUUCAUAAAUUUCCGUGUUUUCAAAAAAAAAUUCUUGUUUUUCAAAAAUUUUCGUUUUUAAAAAAUUUGACCGUGUUUCAUAAAUUUUCGUAUUUCAAAAAAACCUCGUGUUUCAAAAUUUUCGGGUUUUUUUAAAAACAAUUCGUGUUUCUAAAAUUCUCGUAUUUUAAAAAAAAUCGUGUUUUCAAAAAAAGAAAAAGUUGUUGUGCUUUAAAAUUAUCGUGUUUCAAUCGGAUCACGAUUAAUAUUAAAUUGAACUCGUAUUUUUGAAAAUGAAAACAACGCGCGUUUAACGAGAUACCAAUUUUGGGCGUCGCGAGGGUGCUAAUACCUUCCUCGCGCGUAACCGACUCCCGAACCUUAAUUUUCUCUGAAUUUUUACGUGGACCUAAAAUUACCUCUUUUUAGAAAAGUUUAAAAAUGAAUUUUUCUUCUAAAAAGAGAAUUUUGUAGGUGUCCGAUCACACCUAAAAAAAGAUCGGUGGCGACUCCUUUUUUUCAAAUAAAAUCGAGAUUCAGUUUUCAAGUUUUUAAUAAUUACUUCGACAAGCGCCCGUGCGCAAAAUUUUUAAGUCGCUACAGCCUCUACUUGAGACAACAGGGUUUUGCAGGGAAUUCUUACAGGUUCGUUUCUGGCGACAAAAAAGAGCUCUUCACUAUAAGCAUACAAACAAGAGCCAAAACUAUGCCUCUUAGUGAUGAUAUUAGGCCUUAUGUUAUUCCUUUUCAACAUCAAACCGUCAACCGGUAUGGUAUGUUUUUUUUAUUUAAUCUGCAAUUUGUGAUAAUUCUUUGUUAUUUAUGUAUGGAAUUUAUUGGGAGGAAAUGCUGGAAAGAAUUCAUUUACGAGAAUUGGUCCAAGAUCAAGGGUGAACAUUACGGACCCUGAAAAAUAAGAGAAAUACUUAACAAAUUUAAUGACUUCCAGAAGAUACGUACCAAUCCACUGCUUAAUUUGCUUGUAAGCGGCCUUGUUAACCUCGAAGGAGACCGAUGGAGCAAGCAUAGAAAAAUCAUAACCCUUGCAUUUCAUCAAGAUAAGUUGAAGGUAUAGAAUAGUAAUGGGUACUCAAGACUUUAAAGAAAACAUCAUACUUAAGCCUAUGCUUUUCUGAUUUAGAAAUAAUUGGAUGCAGAAUAUGUUGCCAGCAUUUUAUCAAAGUUGUAGUGACAUGUUUAAGCAAAUGGGAGAAGAUGGUGUGUACAGAAGGAUACAUUGAGUUAGAUGUGUCGCCUUAUCUCGUAGAUUUGACAAGAGAUGUUAUUUCCCGAUCUGCUUUUGGAAGCAGCUUCGAAGAAGGCAAACGAAUUUUCCAAUUACUAGAGGACCAACUCGUUCUCACAAUCAAAUUAAUACAAACUGUUUACAUUCCAGGAUGGAGGUAACCGUCUACUUUAAUUUACUUGAAAAAGGUUGCAAAUGUUGGAAUUGGCUAAAUUCGUGUUUGUUUUCUUGAAGGUUUUUGCCCACAAAGACAAACAGGGAGGUGAAGAUGAAACACAAAGACAUAAAAGAGUCGCUCAGGGAAAUGAUAAAAAGAAGAAAGCAGGCAAUUAAAGCAGGGGAAGAGAGUAAUGAGGACUUGUUGGACAUACUUGUGGAAUCCAAUAUCAGAGAAAUGGAAGCAAAGAAUAUGGGGAUGAGCAUUGAGGAUGUGAUUGAGGAAUGCAAGCUGUUUUACUUAGCUGGCCAGGAGACCACUUCGGUCUUACUGGUGUGGACUAUGGUUUUAUUAGCAAGGUAUCCCGAUUGGCAAAGUAAAGCAAGAGAGGAGGUUUUGCAUGUUUUGGGUGACAGUAAACCUGAUGCUGAUGGCCUUAAUCGUCUCAAAGUUGUAAGUCCCUAGCAUGUCUCUUGAAGGCCCGAUCUCUGAGGUCGACAACUCAAAAACUUGGUUCUUUGUUUCGCUAAUUCUACAGUUAACAAUGAUAUUGUACGAGGUUCUAAGGCUGUACCCACCAGUGAUUGAGCUAGGACGUUCCGUUCCAAAAGAAAUAAAACUGGGAAAUUUGUUGUUACCAGCAGGAACAGACGUUUCGGUUCCAAUCCUGCAGAUCCACCAUGACAAAGAUCUUUGGGGCGACGCCGCACGGGAAUUUAAGCCACAGCGGUUCACGGAAGGGGUUUCCUAAGCAACAAAGAGUCAAGUCACGUUUCUGCCAUUCGGAUGGGGUCCUAGGAUCUGCAUUGGCCAAAACUUUGCCAUGAUGGAAGCUAAAAUGGCGAUGGCUAUGAUUCUCCAACGCUUCUGGUUUGAGCUUUCCCCUUCCUAUGCUUACUCUCCUUACAACAUGGCAACUCUUCGUCCACAGCAUGGUGCACAGAUAAUUUUACAUAAACUUGGCUGUAAUUGAAUUGUUAUGUAAGCAAAUCUUUGUGAAAAUAUAGUGUUUUAGUGUAUCGUCAACGUCUGUCUGUAAUGGUACAAUUCCGAUGCAUGAAUAGUAAAUUUUGAGAUGUUUGGUGAAGUCCGAAAUAAUAUGCAGAAAUUGAGUGUCUAUGGUGGACAUAGUUGAGGGACUAAUGUGGUAAUUAUCAAUCAAAUAAUUCGGUACAAAGACUUAUAUGGAAAUUAAAGCAGGGGGAGUUGAAAAUGACUACUCUGCUUUGGGCAUCAAUUUAGAAAGAUUUAAAGUACAAAUGUGUUAUUAGUUAAGGGAUUUGUUUUAAAGAGGGAAUGACAAUUAAACCUCAUGGUUGAUUUGUGGAAGGGAACCAAUGAUGGGAUGAUUACUCUUAGUGGUGAAAAAAAAACUAUUAAGGUGGUUAUUAUAGUUGUUAUCACCAGCCUAAAAUUUGAAUAGGUUCAGGUCGGAUUAUAUUGAGCUUGCAAGAUUAGUUCACGGACCAAACUUGCAUGAUAAUAGGUAUUCACAACAAGAUAUCUAUAGUUUCCAACAAAGUCACAUGUGAGAUCGUGCAUUAGAACCGCAUAAACAUGUUUUAUGUUUAGAAUAUGAUAUGUGUCUAUGUGUAUAGAAUCUACCUAAUAUAUCAUAUUAAUGAAUAGUAUCAAUUGCGGAGCCAAAAAAUUAUUUGUGAGGGGUCAGAAUUAAAUUGUAUAUUUUUACAAAAAUAAAAAUUAAAUUUCACUAUUUUAAUAGUUUAUUUAUUUUUAAUUUUUAAAUGAUUAAAUUAAAUUUUAUAAAUUUUUAGGAUCAAAGUAUAAUUUUAUCAUUACUAAUUUAAAAUUUUAUAAAUUAUAAAAAGUUUAUAUGAAAAGUUUUCUAUUUUAGGGUGGCCAAAGCCCCUGUCAACUUCUGACUCGAUCACUUGCGGUUAGUUGGGUAAAGACUCAAGAAAAAUAGCGGUGUGUUUGGAUGGACGGUGCGUUUACUUGCGGUUAGUGUAAAAAUAGCGGUGGCGGUGAGAUUAGAUACUAUAGCAACACUGUAGCGUGAGACAAAAAGUAAGUUAAACGCACUGCACUGCACUUAAUCGUCUAUCUAAACUCACCAUAAGUGUCUAAAAUAUGAUUUAAGUGAAGAUACGUGGGGUAGGUGUCAUGGAAAUGUAAAAAAAAAAAAGAAUCCUACUAAUGUAUGGGAUGUGUACAAUUGAAUGCAGGAGUGAAUCAUUUGGGUAACAUUUGGACAAGAAACAUAAUGAACAAAAUGAAAGGAGAGGAAGCUAGUAAUAAAAGAUUCUUUUGGGUUAUAUAAUUUGUUUGGCAUAUAUUUUUAUAAUAUUUAAAUAUCAUUUUGGAGUUGUUGAAUUAUAAUUUAUUUUUAUGUUUUAAAACAUAAUUAUUCUAUUUUUAGAGGUCAGAGUAGAGGUGAGCAUGAGUCGGGCUACUCGGCUCGGGCUGAAGGCUUGCGCAAAAUGUGAGAGAUUUGGGUAAAAAUAUAGGCCCGAAAAAUGAGUUUAGACAAAAAAAAAUAUAAGGCCCGUUGAAAAAACAGGCUAGGCCUUGGGUAAGGCAUUUUGGCCCCAGACCCGGCCCAACCCAAAUUCACUAAGGGCACGUUUGGUUCGCUGUAUUGGAAUAGAGGCGUAAUGUAAUAGAGGCGUAAUGGAAUAGAGACGUAAUAGCAAAUCAAUUGUUUGGUUGAAUGUAAUGGAAUAGAGGCGUAAUAGUAUUCUUAUAUUUGGUUGAAUGGAAUAGAGUUGUAAUAGCAUAAGGAAAAAAGUUAAAAUGACUAGAAUACCCUUAGCAGAAAUUUGUUUAGAUAAAUGAUUAUUGUUAUUGUUAUUAAAUUUUAAUAAGAUUAUUAAUAUCAGUAAUAAAUAAUUUAAUCAUAUUUUAACAUAAUUAUUAUUAAAUAUAAUUUAAUAAAAAUAUAUAAUUUAAUAAAAUUCUUAAUAUUAAAUAUUCUUAAUAUUAAAUUACUAAAAUCAUAAUAUAUAAUACUAUAAAAUAUAAUUUAACAUAAUUAUUAUUAAAUAUAAUUUAAUAAAAUUCUCAAUAUUAAAUAUAUUCUUAUAUGAAUUUACUAAAAUCAUAAUAUAUAAUACUAUAAAAUAUAAUUUAAAAUAAUUAUUAUUAAAUAUAAUUUAAUAAAAAUAUAUAAUUUAAUCUAAAGUUUGAAUGUGUAUUUACCUAGCAAAAAUCAAUGAACUCUCGUGUAACUAUAACCUUAAUAAUAUAUGAUGUAUAAUUAAUAUUUCGUGACUAAUUAAUAGCAUAGAGAUAAAUAUAGUAAUGACGAAUUUAUAGUAUACGAUUAAAAUGCUAAUAAUUUAUAGUAUACAAUUAAAAUAUUAUAAAUAAAAUAAUAGUAAAUGAUAUAUAAGAUAAAUUAACAUAUAAAUAAUUCAGAUAUGUAAAGGAUAUGGCUGAAUAUGGUUGCUCCAAUAAUAAAGGAUAUAUAAUAUAUCAUGGUGUUGUUUUGUUUAGAUAGUUCGGUAACUUAGGAGGGUAUGUAUGAAGAACACAAGUUGAUGCAGAUAGAAAGACGACAAUAUUACAUGAUUACAAUAUGAUAUAGUAUAUAUAUAUAAUUUAUGGAUUCCUUGCAAUCACGUGGGUUCUCUAGCCAUUUUAUUUAGCAUAUCCAGUGAUAUUAAGAUCCAGAAUUAUAAUACAACUAAAAUCUGUGCACACUUAUGGAUGAUCCAACAAAGCCUCAGUUGGCUUUAGGUUCCAAAUCUUGCAACCCACAAACCAUAUUUGCUGGCACUGCAACAUCAAUCAUCUUAGGAUAUGCCAAGUUAAGAUCUGUUGCACCAACAAAAACAGAGGAGAAAUUGGAAGGCGAUCCGAAAAAACCCAAGGAUGCUUUUUCUUUUCUUUUUUUUUUAUAAUCUUUAUAGACUGGUUAUAUUGAGCAUCAACUUACUUUCCAUGAUGUUUUUGAAAGUCUCUUACAAAAAGGGUAUUCAACAAAUAAUAUAAUCAGACAUAUUGAUAGGACAAAUUGAAACUAGUAUUCUAUGAUCAUAAUAAAGAGUAAUCUUUAAUCAAAUGCGUGAAGGUAUUGAGAUGUCAUGCUUUUUCAUGAUUUCCUGUUUUACCAUGGCGAUGUUCAUUGGAAUAGUCCCAUCCAAGAGAAUCAAACCAAUGCUCAGCAAGAAAUGUUCAAUGCAUAUGUAAUUUUAAUUACAGAAGUUAUAUGCAGCUUAUAUGAGUUCAAGAUCAUAAAAUACUUCAUGGACAAAAGGAAACCCUUUCUUAUCACUGAAAUGAAAAUAGGCACUCUUAAUUUUCUAUUGUCAAAAGUAGCAAGCCAUUUUCCAAAGAAAAGGGAAGAUGGAUGGUUCCAGAAAGAAUACCUCAUCCUUUGUCAAGUGUGGAUUAUAUAGCAUCUCCUCUCCCACAGUGGUUACCUAUAAUCAAUGAGGUUUAUAAAAUCGAGCAAUCAUUUAUAUAUGUAAGAAAUGAUAGGAAUAAAGUUUUAUAUCUUACUGAGAAUCCUUUGUAGUCAUGAGCUGGAUAUAGCAAUGUCUCUUUCGGUAAUGUAAAAAUCUGGAUCCAUGAAACAAAUAAGUCCAUAAAUUUUAUUCAAAUUUUGACAAUUACAAUAAAAUUUUGAGAACUCAAAGAAUGUGACCAUAAAAAGUCCCCUGUCCUUACCUGUGAAUGCACUGACUUGUAGAGUUGCUGUGAACUUCCACCCUGCAAAAUGCAUUAAUCAGUGCUAGUCAAUGGCUACUGAAUGUGGGAGCAUUAGAGAAAAUUAUCUUAAAAACUUAAGUAUAACAAAAUUAGACAAUGACAUCCAGAUGGAAAGAAAUUGCCAGCAUAUAAGACCAGCAUUUAUGUACUCACGACUGAAAAUCCUUUGCAAAAAGUAUAGCCCUGAUAGUUCAAACUUUUACUUCAAGGAUGAUUUAAUUACUGAUUAGUUUGCCAUGAGGCUUGUGAAUGACAAACACUUUAUGUGCAACCACAGUAACAAGGUAAGCACCAAUAAGUAGAAGACUAGACGAAUAGGUAACCAAGAGUUAGAGCUAAAACAGACAAACAGAGCUACUAUCCAAUGAGCUAAAACAUACAAACAGAGGUAUAUUUUAAUAAUGAAAAUAAUCGAUUGCCUUAAACACCAUAUAGUGUUCCAAUCAAUCAAAUUAUAGCAGGCAUUAAAACCUUUCCCUUUCGUUAAUUCACAACUAUUAGCUUCAUUAAUCAAAUCCUAUGUACAGUUGAUCGAUUGAAAGUGUAACAUUUCAAAGACGAAAUUUAAACGCAAAACUGGUUAACAUUGAAAUUACAUGUAAAUAUAACCUAAAAAAUCAAAAAAUUAAUCAUAUUUUCAGAUUUCAGGCCGAAAUGGAAUGAAAUGAAAGGUAAAUCCAUUUUUUCCCCAAAAAAACAAAAAUAAAGAAAUAAUAUUUCAAGAACAGAUCAUUAAAUUCAUGGUAUAUAUAAAGAAAUUUAAUUGAAAUCAAAGGAAUAGAAGAAGGGAAAAGCGUACUUGGAACCAUUGCUGCUACUCUCUGUUACUCUGUUACCUCAUACGAUUCGUUAAAGGGUUGUUAGGGUUUGUUAAAAGGUUGGUCAGGAUAGAAGCAUGAAAAGGAGGGAGAAGGUUGGAAGGAAAUGGGAAGAAAAAUGAAAAAAAGAAGAAGAUGCUGCAACGGCUUGGAGGGUAAAAGAGGACCGAUUAGGUAAUCCUUUCUUUUGGAAGGGAUUACAAAUCGGCGCUGCAUAAGGGAAAAUGGGGAAUCAGUGCGCUGCGUAAUAGGCCCGUAUUAAGGCAAUACAGCCAACCAAACAUGGUAAUCAGUGGGGCCACGAAUUAGGGGUGUAUUGGCUAAUCCAAUACACCCAACCAAACAUGCUCUAAAGGACAAAAAAAUUUGAUUUUUUAAAUAUUAUUUUCUCUCUAUUUUGCUAUCAUUUUACUAUUAUGUUGCUACUAUGUUAUUGUUAUUUUUGAAUAUUGUAUAAAACUUAUUUUAUUGUUAAUUUUGUUAUUAUUUUAAAGACAUUUGUUAAUUUUGUUAUUAUUUUAGAGACAUUUGUUUGUUAAGUUGCAUCUAUCUUAGUGUUAUUUAAGUAUACAUAUUUUUUAAAAUUUAUUUUCAAUUUAUUGGGAAAUAUUUAUUUUGAUGUUUUUAGUAUUUUGGAUGUAUUAUAUAUAUUAAAAUUAUAUAAAAAUUAAUAUGGCCGAGCCAGGUCAGGCCCAGAUUUUAGCAUUUUUAUUCAGGUCGGGCUUGAGCAAAAUUUUAAGCCCAUUUUUUGGGCCAAACCAGGCCUGGGCUUAGCAAAUGGGCCUAAAUUUUUAGUCAAGCUCGACCUAAACCCGAUCCGGCCCAUGCUCACCUCUAGAUCAGAGCUGCCCUCGCUUUGCAUUUCUUUGAGAUUCAGUCUUAUCUACUGUUGAUUGCCCACUCAAUGGAGGGUUGAGUAGAAAGAUUUGGUGAAGCAAGCUAAGCUAUCAAUCAAGGUUGGAGAAAGCUUAGGAGGUCACAAUGCAUAAUUAUUUAAAUGUAAUUCUAAUAUUUAAAUAAAAUUUAUUAAUAUAGUAUUAACAAGCCCUAAAUGUAAUGAUUAUAUACUAUUACAUUUUUAAGAAGAGAAAACAUGUUUGAACCUUAAAAACAUCAUUAUUAAAAAUGAUAAUUACAAAUUUUAAAAUAUAAAAAAUAUAAUUAAAAAUUAAUUUUAAACCCGAGCUGGAUAAAAUUCUAAUUUUAGAUAACGAUACUAAUAAGAAAUCAAUAUUAAAAUGAAAAUGAAAAGUAAUUUAAUAUAAUUUUUGAGUCUUGGGCAAAGGCACUCAAUGAAUGCUUGGAAAGAAAUAAUGCAACUUGGUGAUAGCUUUUGUUGGAGUAAUAUGCUCUUAUUAUAGUUUUAUGUUUUUAUCUUGCAAAAACAACAUAUUGGAGUUUUCGGCAUGAUUUUUUCUUAAUACUUUACAUGAAAAAUAAUAAUGGGACUUAAAUUGCUACAAUAUUACAACACAAAGUUACAAUAAGAGCUUAUAACUCAACAAAGGCUAUCAAUAAAUAAUCUCAGGCAAGCUAAAGAGAAAUGUUGAGAAUACCACCCGAAUAGUGACUGACUUUAAAAGUUGAAAACCCGAAGCUAUAUUAUCUCAAACGAAAUCAAACCAUAAACAUUAAAAUUUUCAAGUCUACUAGUUACUGUAAAAAAUUCAGCUCCAACAGACACCAAAUGAGCCUUUGAUCGAAGAAAGUACGAAAAAUAGUCUAGGUAAACCAAGCUUCCAAACUUACUUAUCUUAUCUUUAAUUUGCAGUGAAAUUCAAAAUUAAGAUUUUGUUUAUUUCACUUGGAACAACUUUCAAAAAAUUAUUUUUGAAAAAUGAAUUGGUUUUUCGAAAUAGAUGAUAUUUUAUUGUGUCAAAAUUUUAUUCAUUGUAGGAAAACUUUUUUUAAAUCAUUUUCUUAGAGUUAUUUUUAGUUAAAUAAACAUAACAUAAAUAUAUUUGUUACAAAAAAUUAUACUAGUAUUUUCUUUUGACAAUUAAAAUUUAUUUUAUGGUAAGACAAUAUUUUAUAAUAAUUAAUAUCAUAUAUAUACGUAAUAAAAAUCAUGUUUAAUUAAAAUUUAAUUAAAAUUAGAUGUAUUAAUAAAGCUACUCCUCCACAACCCGCAUCCGCAACAGCACCAGCACCAGCACCAGCACCAGCAUCAGCACCAUGGGACAACUAUUGGGUUUCCUCCACCUGCCUCUAUCGCUCCUCCUCAGUAUUACCCCCAAGCCUACCAGACCGUGCCGGGUAUUCUACAAAUAUGAAAAAACCUUCUUCUCUUUUUAUUAGCUUAUCGAAAUGAAGGAUUUUGAGAUUUGGGCUUUUGUUAGAUGGAUGGUUAAUGAUAUUUUUUAGAUGAAAGAUACAAGUUUUUUAAUGUUUUAGAAGAAAAGGUGUUUAAAUAUUAGGAGUUUUUUAGCAGAGAAAGAAGAUAAAUAAAUGCAUAGAGAUACAUUAGCAAUAUUAUUUGGAUUUGGUUGUCUAAUGUAAUGAAGAAUUUUUUAAGGGUGACCUGAGUAGGUGUGGCAAGAUUCAAAGUUUUUUCUAUUAUAGCAGAUAUAUAUAUAUUAAUGGUUUAAGAAGACUAGAAGUCGGUUUCAAAGGAAGAUGAGAAAUAAAAGCAUUUAUAUAUAUGAUAUGUCAUUAAUUCAUAAACCAAAUAUAUAAAGUAUGUAAAAGUGUCAGGGGUUAAUCAUGGUGUUUUGACAAUCCGGUAACCUUCAACUUGAAGAAAACCUUAGGUUUCAAAAAUUUAUGUGAAGAGUUAGAAUGGUAUGCUUCAUGGAUCUGAAUAACUAGAACAGUGUAAGAGUGGUAUAUUGUGUCAAGUUUGGUUUCUUGUAUAUAAUUGUAUCGAAAACAAUGUUACAUGAGUUAAAAUGAAUGUUCAUCCAAUUUAACAAAGCCUGCAUUAUGUUGAUCAAAAUUUUUAAUUCAUGUUGAGGUUUCUUCCGUGAUAUCUUUGAUGUCAAGGUUAUGAUGUUGCUGAAGGGACACCUGUAAGAGAUAAGCCACCGUGCUGUGGCAUUGGAUUCGGAUGGUUCUUGUAAGUGUACAUAGUUUUCUUUGUUUUUAAAGAGUUCUUUACAUAUGAAGUAAAACAAGUAGCGACUUGAUGGAUAUGUCAUUAAGCUUUAACUUAAGCAAAUCAUUUUCCUUCAUCUCUAAUUGCCAUUUCUUUAAAAGAAAAAGAGGAAGUUUUGUAGUUUACAGUUUGGACAAAUGGAAGUUAAUAUAAUGCACUAUUUGGAUGGACUAUGGAGAUAUCCAAUCAUAUUGGAUGAGUUAUAAGAAACCUGUGAGUUCAUAUUGGGUUUACUUUAUAUCAUAAUUAGAUUGUUGAGCUGGCUGUCAUACUUAGAUGGUAUUUCACGUUGCUACUUGUUAAACUAUACCACUUUCACAUUCAUACGUGAAAUGGCUGGGAUUUAGUGCCAUUCUACUUAGCAGCCUCGUGUAAUACACAGGUGAAAUGUUUAUGUCUUCAUGUCACCUUAAAGUUCCCAUUUCCAUGACGGUAUUGUUAAGUAAAGACUGGUACAUACCCCAAAAUACGGAAAUUGUUUUGGAUGUAUACUAUACUUUACCAUGCAUGAUUUUUUACAAGUUUGCAUGGUAUUUUAUCAUUAUAUUGGUCUUUAUUUUCUAUACUCGCAGCUUCCAUUAAUAUAUUUUUAUGAAUUUUAUCAUUAUGCUGGUUUGAAGGUUCAUCAUUGGUUUCUUCAUUGGGGGCCAUCCCUGGUAUAUUGGAUUCUUUGUUUUACUUUGUGCAAGGAUAGACGACAGAGAGAAAGCAGGAUAUAUUGCAUGCACAAUUGCCGUGAGUAUCUUUUCUAUCAUUAUUUUUUUCUUUUCCAAUUUUAUGAAAGCCAUCCUUCCUGCCUUGUAUUGAUCAUCAAUUUAACCAUUAUAUAUAUGUAUCUUAUGUAUUUGUACCAUGCUUUAUCUUCAAUGCAAAUAUAAGUUAAACUACAAAGAUUGGAUUGUUAAAAAAAGUUUAAAAUGUUAAAAAAAUUGAAAAUUUUGAUUUUGUAAGAAUGAUAGAAAACCAAGGCCAGUGCUUGCAUAUGUUAUCUACUACAUGCACAAUCGGGUCGAUGUCUGUAUAUGUUUCAUGUUUAGAAAUCGUGUUCAAUUGGGUUACGAUAUGUACAAUUGAAGUGUCAAUUUAUAAUUUCCUUAUCAAGAUUACACAUUUUUUUGUUAAUAUUCGGAAUCACUCAAUGGUUAUAAACCCUGAUUGGAUACUGUCCACAAAGUCUAGUUGGAACAUCCCUUGUAUUCUUUGUCCUUUCUAAGAACUUUCCUUUCCAUCAUUCUCGCUUCUGUUUUUUUUUUCUUCCCUCUACUUUAAGUCAUUAUCUAACGUAGAUAUCCCUUGUAUUCUUUGUCCUUUCUAUGGCAAUCGAGUCAAUUGAUGGCAAGCCAAAAAAACAAAAAGAGCAGCUAUCCUGUCUUACUCGAUUGCCAUCCCUCCUGUUAAACACCAUUAAGAAAAGGAAAAUUUUAGUUAAGCUUUAAAACAGCCAUGUUUUAACGAUGUUGGUGAUGGUGCUUGUGCAGGCCCUUCUUGCUACAAUUACAAUUAUUCUUAGUGCAACAAUUAAAGCUGGUGGGUGAUAAAGCACACCUCUUUUGACUGAGAGAUGUAUAGGUUCCCAAAUAAUAUGUAUAUGCUCCCCCCCCUCCCUUUAUUUUAUUUUAUUUCCAGUAAGUUAUUGUUUAUGAUAAUUUGCAACAAAUGUUUUUGUCAUUAUUUUGUUGGUGAAUGAUAAUAAGAUUAAGCUUUACUUUCUUAAGCUCCAAUUCCUUGGACGUUGGUGAUUUUUUUAUUAUAGUUGAGUCAUUGUAUGGUAUUAAUAUAAUUUAUGUCGCUUAAAAUUUAUAACUAAAAAUAUAAAAUUUAAAUUUUACUUCAAUUUAUUUGUAUUUAUAAAUGGUUAAUUCAAACUUAUUUUUUUCCUCAUUAUAUUUUAUAUUUAAAUUAACAUUUAAACUAUUUUUCAUUAGCAAUGUUGUUAAGAAUUAUAUUUUUUAGCACCAACAUCAAACUUACUAAAAUUAAAUUUUUAACUAUUUAAAAAAAAUAUUUUUAGCUAUUUAUCAUCAUAGAGAAAAAAAGGUGACGUCACCACGCCUCAUGCUUCGACACCACAAACUAGACUCUCAUCACCCGUAUUUAUCAUCGAUUCAAAUUCCAGAACUACCUAAAAAUAUAUCUUCAAACUUCCUCUGGUUAAGUUCAUUGAUAGUCAACUUACUAUCAUUUCUAAAAAAAAAACAAAUAAAUUGGUUAAUAGUAAUCUCAAUGAUUCAAUUUUAUUCUUACCAGUAUCUGUCCUUUAGAAAGGGGCUUAUAAAAGGGGUAGAGGUGAGUAAACUUGAGCUUCAGCUUUCCACAAACACCUUAAUUUGAAGACACAGUUCUCUCAUACUAAAAAAGACAUGGAAGUUUACCUUGUAAUUAGAGAUUUGGUUUCAUUGCUUGUUGUUGGGUUAUUAAUGAUAUGGGGAUGCAGAACUUUAAACUGGGUAUGGCUGGCCCCAAAAAGGCUCGAAAGCUGCUUGAGACAACAGGGUUUUGCAGGGAAUCCUUACAGGUUCCUUUCUGGUGACAUAAAAGAGCUCUCAACUAUGAGCAGACAAACAAGAGCCAAACCUAUGCCUCUUAGUGAUGAUAUUGGGCCUUAUGUUGUUCCUUUUCAACAUCAAACUGCUAACCAGUAUGGUAUGUUUUUUUUGUUUAAUCUGCAAUUUAUGAUAAUUCUUUGUUAUUUAUGUAUGGAAUUUAUUGGGAGGAAAUGCAGGAAAGAAUUCAUUUACGUGGUUUGGUCCAAGACCAAGGGUGAACAUUACGGACCCUGAAAAAAUAAGAGAAAUACUUAACAAAUUUAAUGACUUCCAGAAGAUACAUACCAAUCCACUGCUUAAUUUGCUUGUAAGCGGCCUUGCUAACCUCGACGGAGACCGAUGGAGCAAGCGUAGAAAAAUCAUAAACCCUGCAUUUCAUCAAGAUAAGUUGAAGGUAUAGAAUAGUGAUGGGUAAUCAGACUUUACAGAAAACAUCAUACUUAAACCUAUGCUUUUCUGAUUUAGAAAUAAUUGGAUGCAGAAUAUGUUGCCAGCAUUUUAUCAAAGUUGUAGUGACAUGUUAAGCAAAUGGGAGAAGAUGGUGUGUACAAAAGGAUACAGUGAGUUAGAUGUGUGGCCUUAUCUCGUAGAUUUGACAAGAGAUGUGAUUUCCCGAUCUGCUUUUGGAAGCAGCUUCGAAGAAGGCAAACGAAUUUUCCAAUUACUAGAGGACCAACUCGUUCACAUAAUCAAAUUAAUACAAACUGUUUACAUUCCAGGAUGGAGGUAACCGUCAACUUAAUUUACUUGAAAAAGGUUGCAAAUGUUGGAAUUCGCUAAAUUCGUGUUUGUUUUCUUGAAGGUUUUUGCCAACGAAGACAAACAGGGAGAUGAAGAUGAAACACAGGGACAUAAAAGAGUUGCUUAUGGAAAUGAUAAAGAGAAGGGAGAAGGCAAUUAAAGCAGGGGAAGAGAGCAAUGAGGACUUGUUGGACAUACUUGUGGAAUCCAAUAUCAGAGAAAUGGAAGCAAAGAAUAUUGGGAUGAGCAUUGAGGAUGUGAUUGAGGAAUGCAAGCUGUUUUACUUAGCUGGCCAAGAGACCACUUCGGUCUUACUGGUGUGGACUAUGGUUUUAUUAGCAAGGUAUCCCGAUUGGCAAAGUAAAGCAAGAGAGGAGGUUUUGCAUGUUUUGGGUGACAGUAAACCUGACGCUGAUGGCCUUAAUCGUCUCAAAGUUGUAAGUCCCUAGCAUGUCUUUUGAAGGUCCGAUCAAUGAGGUCGACAACUCAAAAACUUUGUUUCUUUUUUCGCUAAUUCUACAGGUAACAAUGAUAUUGUACGAGGUUCUAAGGCUGUACCCACCGGUGGUUGAGCUAGAACGUUCCGUUCCAAAAGAAAUAAAACUGGGGAAUUUGUUGUUACCAGUAGGAACAGAAGUUUCGGUUCCGAUCCUGCUGAUCCACCAUGACAAAGAUCUUUGGGGCGAUGACGCACGGGAAUUUAAGCCAGAGCGGUUCGCGGAAGGGGUUUCCAAAGCAACAAAGAGUCAAGUCACGUUUCUGCCAUUCGGAUGGGGUCCUAGGAUCUGUAUUGGCCAAAAUUUUGCUAUGAUGGAAGCCAAAAUGGCGAUGGCUAUGAUUCUCCAACGCUUCUGGUUCGAGCUUUCCCCUUCCUAUGCUCACUCUCCUUACGGCAGGGCAACUCUUCGUCCACAGCAUGGUGCACAGAUAAUUUUACAUAAACUUGGCUGUAAUUGAAUUGUUAUGUAAACAAAUCUUUGUGAAAACAUAGCGUUUUAGUUUAUCGUCAAAGUCCGGUGUCUGUAAUGGUACAAAUUCGAUGCAUGAAUAGUAAAGUUUGAGAUGUUUGGUGAAGUCCGAAAUAAUAUGCAGAAAUUGAGUGUGGUAAUUAUCAAUCAAAUAAUUCGGUACAAAGACUUACAUGGAAAUUAAAGCAGGGGGAGUUGAAAAUGACUACUCUGCUUUGGGCAUCAAUUUAGAAAGAUUUAAAGUACAAAUGUGUUAUUAGUUAAGGGAUUUGUUUUAAAGAGGGAAUGACAAUUAAACCUCAUGGUUGAUUUGUGGAAGGGAACCGAUGAUGGGAUGAUUAUUCUUAGUGGUAAAAAAAACUAUUGUGGAGGUUAUUAUACUUGUUAUCAUCGGCUUAAAAUUCGAAUGGGUUCAAGUCGGAUUAUAUCGAGCUUGUAAGAUGAGUUCACGGAUCAAAUUUGCAUAAUAAAAAUACUUAAAUGAAAAAAAUUUCUAUUUUAGAGGGACCAGAGCCCCUACCAAUUCCCGGCUCAGCUACUAAACAAUACCCAUAUCAUAUAAAUAAAUACCACCAUAAAAAAAACUCAAAGAAAAACACUGACAAAUGAUAAAUAGAUAGAUGUUGGAUAAGUGUCCAAAAUAUGAUUUAAGUGAAGAUACAUGGGGUAGGUGUCACGGAAAUGUGAAUACAAGAAUACUACUAAUGGGAUGUGUACAGUUGAAUGUAGGGAGCAAAAAGAGGAGUGAAUCAUUUUGGUAACAUUGGGACAAGAAACAUAAUGAACAAAAUGGAAGGAGAGGAAGCUAGUAAAAGAAAUUUUUUGGGUCAUAUAAUUUGUUUGGCAUAUAUUUUUAUAAUUUUUAAAUAUCAUUUUGGACUUGAAUUAUAAUUUUUUUAUAUAUUAUCUUAAAAUUGUAUAAAUUUUAAGGAGUUAAAACAAAAUUAUUCUAUUUUUAGAUGGUUAAAGUAGAGAUGAUAAUGGGUUGAGCUAUUCGGCCCAGCCUGACGAUCCACCCGAAAAAUAGGAAGGUUUGGGUAAAAAUAUAGGCUUGAAAUAUGAAUUUGAGCAAAAAAAGAGGCCCGUUUAGAAAAUGGGCCGAGCCUCGGGUAAAACCUUUUGGGUCUAGACCUGACCUAAAUUAUAUAUUAAAUAUAUAUAUUUUUAUUUUUAAUCAAAUAUACUUUUGUUUUAUUAUUAAUUUGGUUAUUAUUUUAGUUCUAAUUUGUUUCAAUUUUAAUAUAACUACUUUUUAUUAUAUUUUCAAUUUGUGCAUUGUUUUAAGAAUUAUUUUAGUCUCAUUAUUUAUUUAUUUUUUAUUUUAAUAUUUGUUUUAAAAUUUUUUAUUUAUUGAAAUAAGCUAAAAAAAUUAAUAUGGGUUGGACCAGACCGGGCUCGGGCCUAGUAAUUUUCUUUUGGGCCGGACUUAAACAAAUUUUUAAGCCCAUAUUUUGAAUUGGGUCCUACACUAGAAAAUGGACCUAAAAUUUUGUAUUACCUUUAGGUCAGAGCUAUCCUCGUUUUGCAUUUCUUUGAGAUUCAGCCUUAUUUACUUUUGAUUGCCCACUCAAUAGAGGGUUGAGUAGAAAUAUUUGGUGAAGCAAGCUAAGCUAUCAAUCAAGGUGUGCAUAAUUAUUUAAAUGUAAUUCUAAUAUUAAAAUAAAAUUUUUAUUAAUAUAGUAUCAACAAGCAUUAAAUGUAAUCAUCAUAUACUAUUAAAUUUUCAAUAAGAGAAAACAAGCUUGAACUUUAAAAACGAUGUUACUAAAAACAUUAUCACAAAUCUUGAAAUAUAAAAAAUACUUUUUAAUAUAAUAAAAAAAUAAUUUUAAAACCGAGAUGAAUAAAAUUCUAAUUUUAAUUAAUGAUACCAACAACAAAUCAAUAUUUAAAUUAAAAUUUAUCUUAAUUUAAUAUAAUAAAAUUGGACUUGAAUAUUGAAUUUUUGAGUCUUGGGCAAAGUAGAGGUGCUCAUGGGCCGGGUUGGGUCGGGUUUGGGAAAAAUUUCGGCCCGCAUCCUAGGCUCGGGCUCGGCCCGACCCAAAUAUGGGCCUAAAAUUUUGUCUAGGCCUAGCCCGGCCCGGCCCAACUCAUUUUUUUUAAUAAACACCAAAAAUUUAUUUUGAAAAUAAAAAAAUAAAAAAAGUAUUUUAAAAAUAUUUUAAAAUUUUUAAAAAAUAUAUAUAUUUAUUAUAUAUUCGGGCCGGGCCAGGCCCGAGCCAAAAAAGUGGCGCCCAAGGCCCGGCCUGUUUUCUAAACGGGACUCAUUUUUUACCCAAACCCAUAUUUCGGGCCUAUAUUUCUACCCGAAUCUCUCAUAUUUAGGGCGAACCGUCGGGCCGGACCGGGCCGCCCGGCCAUGAACACCUCUAGGACAAAGUCACUCAAUGAAUGCAUGGAAAGAAAUAAUGCAACUUGGUGAUAGCUUUUGUUGGAGUUAUAUGCUUUUUUUUUACGUAGUGGAACUUUCGGUGGAUUUUCAAGUUUCAUGAACUUUAUACUCUAUGCUUUACGUGAAAAAAAAAAUUCAUUGGACUUAAAAGUCUACCAAAAGUUUCACUAAAAAAAAAACCAUUGCUACAAGAUUACAACAUAAAGUUACAAUAAGAGCUUAUAACUCAACAAAGGCUAUCAAUAAAUAAUCUCAAACAAAUUAAAGAGAAAUGUUGAGAGUACCACUCGAAUAGUGAUUAACUUUAAAAAUUGAAAACCCAAAGUUAUAAUAUCCCAAACGAAAUCAAACCAUAAACAUUAAAUUUUUCGAGUCUACUAGAUACUGCAAAAAAUUCAGCUCCAACAGACACCAAAUGAACCUAUGAUCGAAGAAAAUACGAAAACUAGUCUAGCUAAAUCAAGCUGCCAAACUUACUUUUUAUCUUAUCUUUAAUUUGCUGUGAAAUUCAAAACUAAGGUUUUGUACUUAGAACAACUUUCAAAAAGUUAAUUUUGAAAAAUGGAUUGAAUUUUCAAAAUAGAUGAUAUUUUAUUGUGUUAAAAUUUUAUUCGUUGUUUGAAAAAAAAUUUAAAUCAUUUUCUUAGAAUUAUUUUUAGUGAAACAAACAUAUCAUAAAUAUAUUUGUUAUAAAAUAUUUAUAUUAAUAUUUUCUUUUAACAAUUAAAAUAUAUUUUGUGAUAAGGUAUAUUUUAUAAUAAUUAAUAUCAUAUAUACUUAAUAAUAAAUCAUGUCUAAUUAAAAUUUAAUUUCAAUUAAAUAUAUUAAUAAAGCUACAUAUAAUCAUAUUUUAUAUAAUAAAAAUAUUAAUAUAAAUAUUUUUUUAAUAAUAUAUUAAAGAAUAUUUAAAAUUUAAAUUUAUUAUUACUAAGAUUAAUUAUUAAAAUAAAAAUGUAAUGUUAAAUAAUUUAUCCAAUGAUAAGUUAUAUUAAUAAUUUAUUAUAUUAUUAAAUAUAAAUAAUUAAAUAUGUAUGUUUAAUAAUAUUAUGUUAUAAUAUUUAUUAUUAAUAUUUUAAUAUUUUUAAACAACCAUGUUUUAAAGAUGGUGGUGAUGGUGAUGGUGCAGGCCCCCUUGUUACAAUUACAAUAUUUUUAAGUGGGAUGCAUGUAAUAUAUUGUUAGGGUUUUAGAGUGUGUGGUCUUUAAAAGGGUUAAAUUAUAUAUUUAUAUAAUAUGAUUAUUGUUUAUAAAUAUAAUAUUGUAGAUAAACUUUUAUGCAUGUCAAUAUGUAUCCUACUCUGGGGUUAAUAUGUAUUUUUAGAUAUGGAUUCACCUAUAUAAUAGUAUGAAUCCAUCAUGCGGUCUCAUGAAAUAUACAAACACAUAUCGUGCGAACACAAAGUACGAACAAUAAAAAGUACAAAUCAAGACCAAUUGAGUAAUUGAAUAGCAGAUAGGUAAUAAUGACUAUCCCCUCUUGUUUGAAUUUAUUUUAUUUCCAGUGAGUUAUCGUUUAUGAUAAAUUUACAACAAAUGUUUUUAUCAUUAUUUUGUUGGUAAAUGAUAAUAAGAUUAAACUUUACUUUCUUAAGCUCCUUCAAUUCUUUGGACGUUAGCAAGUAAACUUGAGCUUCAGCAUUCCACAAACACCUUAAUUUGAAGACACAGUUCUCCCAUACUAAAAACAACAUGGACGUUUACCUUGUAAUUAGAGAUUUGGGCUCAUUGUUAGGUUAUUAAUGAUACGGGGAUGGAGAGCUUUAAACUGGGUAUGGCUGGCCCCAAAGAGGCUCGAAACGUGCUUGAGACUAGAGGUCCAGGCAAAUUUUUAGGCCCAUUUUUUAGGCCUGGACUGGGCCCGACUCGAAAUAUGAGCUUAAAAAUUUGUCUAAGUUCGGUCCAAAAGAAAAUUGUUAAGCCUAAGCCCGGCCCAUAUUAAAUUUUACAACACCAAAAAACUAUAUAUUUAAUAUAUAUAUUUGAUUAAAAAGUAUAUUUAAUUAAAAAUAAAAAUAUAUAUUUAAUAUAUAAUUCGGGCCGGGCCGAACUCGGGCCAAAAAAGUUUUACUCGGGGCUGGUCCGUUUUCUAAACAGACCUCGUUUUUUUGUCAAAAUCCAUAUUUUAGGCUUAUAUUUUUACCCGAAACUUCCUAUUUUUCGGGUGAACCGUCAGGCCGGACUAGGUAGCCCAACCAAUGAUCACCUCUACUUGAGACAACAGGGUUUUGCAGGGAAUUCUUACAGGUUCGUUUCUGGCGACAUAAAAGAGCUCUUCACUAUAAGCAUACAAACAAGAGCCAAACCUAUGCCUCUUAGUGAUGAUAUUGGGCCUUAUGUUGUUCCUUUUCAACAUCAAACCGUCAAUCAGUAUGGUAUGUUUUUUAAUUUAAUCUGCAAUUUAUGAUAAUUCUUUGCUAUUUAUGUAUGGAAUUUAUUGGGAGGAAAUGCUGGGAAGAAUUCAUUUACGUGGAUUGGUCCAAGAUCAAGGGUGAACAUUACGGACCCGGAAAAAUAAGAGAAAUACUUAACAAAUUUAAUGACUUCCAGAAGGUACGUACCAAUCCACUGCUUAAUUUGCUUGUAAGCGGCCUUGUUAACCUCGAAGGAGACCGAUGGAGCAAGC